ACCUGCCUGGCUCAGGUGAUGGAGUAUAAGACUGUUGAUCUCAGGGUUGUGGGUUCAAGCCCCAUGUUGGGUG
rnacentral:tRNA from 1 species